rnacentral:rRNA from 1 species
UACGUAGGGUGCGAGCGUUGUCCGGAAUUACUGGGCGUAAAGAGCUCGUAGGUGGUUUGUCGCGUUGUCCGUGAAAACUCACAACUCAAUUGUGGGCGUGCGGGCGAUACGGGCAGACUGGAGUACUGCAGGGGAGACUGGAAUUCCUGGUGUAGCGGUGGAAUGCGCAGAUAUCAGGAGGAACACCGGUGGCGAAGGCGGGUCUCUGGCAGUAACUGACGCUGAGGAGCGAAAGCGUGGGGAGCGAACAGG